rnacentral:rRNA from 1 species
UACGUAGGGAGCAAGCGUUAUCCGGAUUUAUUGGGUGUAAAGGGUGCGUAGACGGGAAUGCAAGUUAGUUGUGAAAUCCCUCGGCUUAACUGAGGAACUGCAACUAAAACUACAUUUCUUGAGUGCUGGAGAGGAAAGUGGAAUUCCUAGUGUAGCGGUGAAAUGCGUAGAUAUUAGGAGGAACACCAGUGGCGAAGGCGACUUUCUGGACAGUAACUGACGUUGAGGCACGAAAGUGUGGGGAGCAAGCAGG